UUGCUUGACUAAGGCUCCGGAGGAAGCCACGGCUAACUCUGUGCCAGCAGCCGCGGUAAUACAGAGGCGGCAAGCGUUGUUCGGAAUUAUUGGGCGUAAAGAGCACGUAGGCGGGUAUGUAAGUCGGUUGUGAAAGCCUUCCGCUCAACCGGAAAACAACCUCCGAUACUGCAUGGCUUGAUUGCGGGAGGGGAGAGUGGAACUUCUGUUGG
rnacentral:rRNA from 1 species